rnacentral:ribozyme from 1 species
AGACAGAGAGAAGACAGAACAACUUAAAUAUGGUGUGACUGUAAUUUUUUUUAUUGAUUUUUUUUUUUGGUUUUUUUUUUUUUUUUUUUUUUCCCUUUUUUUUUUUUUUU